GUUCACUUCGGCAGCACAUAAACUAAAAUUGGACCGAUACAGAGAAGAUUAGCAUGGCUCCUAUGAAAGUAUGACAUAAAAAUUCAUGAAGGUUCCAUAUUUUUU
ensembl:snRNA U6 U6 spliceosomal RNA